rnacentral:rRNA from 1 species
GACGAACGCUGGCGGCAGGCCUAACACAUGCAAGUCGAACGAGUGGCGGACGGGUGAGUAAUGUCUGGGAAACUGCCUGAUGGAGGGGGAUAACUACGGGAAACGGUAGCUAAUACCGCAUACCAUCAGAUGUGCCCAGAUGGGAUUAGCUAGUAGGUGAGGUAACGGCUCACCUAGGCGACGAUCUCUAGCUGGUCUGAGAGGAUGACCAGCCACACUGGCACUGAGACACGGUCCAGACUCCUACGGGAGGCAGCAUGGGGGAAUAUUGCACAAUGGUCGCAAGCCUGAUGCAGCCAUGCCGCGUGUAGGAAGAAGGCCUUCGGGGUGUAAAGUACUUUCAUCGGGGAGGCGUUACCCGCAGAAGAAGCACCGGCUAACUCCGUGCCAGCCGCCGCGGUAAUUC